rnacentral:misc_RNA from 1 species
UGGAAGCGUUGGGUAUGGUGAGGUCAGUUUUACUUUUAAUUUUUUUAAUUAUUGUCCAGCUAUUUGCCUCCUACUCUUUUCUCCUCAUUCCUCUUUAACUCCACUGGCAAUAUUGAAUCUUUAUGCAUAGCAUUCCUGAAAGAUAGUAUUUCUGAUGCCCGACUGUGCUUCCUUCCUUGUCACUGUUAUUUACCAUGAAUUACUUUGAACGGUGAAAUUUCAUUCUGCAUUGCAAAAUAUGUAGGAUUUGAGUUUCAUAUGUAUAGUAUCUUGUAUGAUAUCUUCUCAUUUACUAGGAAUCUUUGAGUAAAUAUAUAAAUGCUUAGCAGUGUGGGACUCCAUGUCACCAUUCUAUGGUUGGGGGUAAUGGAACUAUCUUAAAUGCAGAUGGGUUAAGUGCAAUCACUUUAGUGUUAAUCUAUGAUUUUCAGUUUACUGUGCCCCCAUAUGAUACCAAGAAGGUAGGUUAUUUUUGUUGGAAGUAUUUUCUUAUUUUGGUGGCAAAAAAAUUUUAAAAGAGUUUUCUAGUGUACAAGGCCUCCUGCAUAAGGCCCUGGCAGUGAAAUAUGUAAACCGGAAAAAAAAAUAUAUAUACAGGUUCCUACUUAAACAAGUGGGAUUGCCAUGCAGUACAGUUAG